UGAAUGAGAAAGUUGAUCUCUCUGAAGCAUAGGUAUUAUACAUUGUCCUUGCUGUGCAGUAUGGCACUUCAUUUGAGCAUGGUAUUGGUGACUGCAAGUUGACCUCGCUCACUCAGAUAUAGUGAAUAAGACAUUAUAUGGAUGCUGACCUGUUCAAAACCAUAAGAACGAGUCCUGUACAUUUAGUUAGAUCAACAGAGUUCUAUAAUAAUCGUCCAACAAAAUGUACCAACCAAUAAAGAAGCUUGGCAAUUGUUUCCAUAUUUGCAGCUUAGUUCGGUAUUGUGGUUUUAAUUAGAAAUCUGUUAAGCUGUCUAUUUUGGUUAAUUAUAUGCAUGUGAACUUGGAAUUCCCCAACUGAAUAAAAAAUAACAUAACAAAACAAAACCAAUCAUAGUAUACCAAGCAAGCAGGGCAGGGGAAAGGACCCGCAAGCAGCACUUAGAUCCGCUGCUCUCACCCACUUCACAACUUG
rnacentral:lncRNA from 1 species